UACGUAGGGUGCAAGCGUUGUCCGGAAUUAUUGGCGUAAAGAGCUCGUAGGCGGUUUGUCGCGUCUGCUGUGAAAACUCAGGGCUUAACCCUGAGCCUGCAGUGGGUACGGGCAGACUAGAGUGUGGUAGGGGAGAUCGGAAUUCCUGGUGUAGCGGUGGAAUGCGCAGAUAUCAGGAGGAACACCGAUUGCGAAGGCAGGUGGCUACGAUUUAUUUGACACUGAGGCACGAAAGCAUGGGGAGCAAACAGG
rnacentral:rRNA from 1 species